rnacentral:rRNA from 1 species
GGACGAAAGUCUGACGGAGCAACGCCGCGUGAGUGAAGAAGGUUUUCGGAUCGUAAAGCUCUGUCUUUGAGGACGAAUGUGUCUAAUGUGAAUAAUGUUAGAUAAUGACGGUACUCGAGGAGGAAGCCACGGCUAACUACGUGCCAGCAGCCGCGGUAAUACGUAGGUGGCAAGCGUUGUCCGGAAUUAUUGGGCGUAAAGCGCGCGCAGGCGGGAUAUUAAGUCUGUUUUAAAAGUUCGGGGCUCAACCCCGUGAUGGAAUGGAAACUAAUAUUCUUGAGUGCAGGAGAGGAAAGUGGAAUUCCCAGUGUAGCGGUGAAAUGCGUAGAUAUUGGGAGGAACACCAGUGGCGAAGGCGACUUUCUGGACUGUGUCUGACGCUGAGGCGCGAAAGCCAGGGGAGUGAACGGGAUUAGAUACCCCGGUAAUCCUGGCCGUAAACGAUGGGUACUAGGUGUAGGAGGUAUCGACCCCUUCUGUGCCGGAGUUAACGCAAUAAGUACCCCGCCUGGGGAGUAC